rnacentral:rRNA from 1 species
GGGUCAGUAGGUUGGUCGUGCCACCUGUACGUACUGGUCUCACUGAUUCCUCCUUCCUGAAGAACCGUAAUGCCAUUAAUUUGGUGUUGCGGGGAAACAGGACUGUUACUUUGAAAAACUUAGAGUGUUUAAAGCAAGCUAACGCUUGAAUACAUUAGCAUGGAAUAAUGAAAUAGGACGAUCGAUCCUAUUUUGUUGGUUUCUAGGAUUGACGUA